GACGAACGCUGGCGGCGUGCUUAACACAUGCAAGUCGAACGAAGUGGCGAACGGGUGAGUAACGCGUAAUCAACCUGCCCUUCAGAGGGGGACAAAAGUUGGAAACGACUGCUAAUACCGCAUACUGAAGGAGGGGAUUGCGUCUGAUUCGCUAGUGGGCGGGGGAACGGCCCACCACGGCGAUGCACAGUAGACUGUCUGAUAGGAGGAACGGCCAAAUUGGGACGGAGACACUGCCCAGACUCCUAAGGGAGGCAGCAGGGGGGAAUCUUCCGCAAUGGACGAAAAUCUGACGGAGCAACGCCGCGGGAGUGAUGACGGCCUUCGGGUUGUAAAGCUCUGUUAAGCGGGACGCGGUACCGGAAUAGAAAGCCACGGCUAACUACGUGCCAGCAGCCGCGGUAAUUC
rnacentral:rRNA from 1 species